AGAUCGAACUAUAGAGUUUGAUCCUGGCUCAGAUUGAACGCUGGCGGAAUGCUUUACACAUGCAAGUCGAACGGCAGCACGGGCUUCGGUCUGGUGGCGAGUGGCGAACGGGUGAGUAAUAUAUCGGAACGUGCCCAGUCGUGGGGGAUAACGUAGUGAAAAUUACGCUAAUACCGCAUACGAUCUAAGGAUGAAAGCGGGGGAUCGCAAGACCUCGCGCGAUUGGAGCGGCCGAUAUCAGAUUAGGUAGUUGGUGAGGUAAAGGCUCACCAAGCCAACGAUCUGUAGCUGGUCUGAGAGGACGACCAGCCACACUGGAACUGAGACACGGUCCAGACUCCUACGGGAGGCAGCAGUGGGGAAUUUUGGACAAUGGACGCAAGUCUGAUCCAGCCAUUCCGCGUGCAGGACGAAGGCCUUCGGGUUGUAAACUGCUUUUGUACAGAACGAAAAGGUCUCUAUUAAUACUAGGGGCUCAUGACGGUACUGUAAGAAUAAGCACCGGCUAACUACGUGCCAGCAGCCGCGGUAAUACGUAGGGUGCAAGCGUUAAUCGGAAUUACUGGGCGUAAAGCGUGCGCAGGCGG
rnacentral:rRNA from 3 species